GAAUGCAGCAGCCAUAGCUAUUUUUCUCA
rnacentral:SRP_RNA from 12 species